rnacentral:miRNA from 1 species
UGGUCCCCUUCAACCAGC